AUCAAAGAAGAGGGCUUCCAAUGCAGGAAACGUUAUCGGUACAGAGAAGGACGGAGCAAGGUAAAUCACGGGAGAUGAAGCGAGAGAGGAGACGAAAAGGUGCCUGCACCCAUGUACCAACACAGGGCUCGCAGCUACGAUACGCGAACGUAUGUCACAUACAUUAACACGGAUUGCUGCGUUUUCACGUUGCCGAGCAAUGCGUGGUCUACAUCGUGGGCUACGGGAAAGAAAGGGGGAAGAAUGGAAGGGAAGAAGCAAAGAGGAAGAAGGAUGAAGAAAGAUGGGAGAGAACGUAGGGGAAAAGAGAACUCGGAUGUGCUGCGGAGCAGAGUCGUGUGAGGUGAGGGCGCACCUGGACCUUCUUCUCCAUAGGCGUACAAGGGCUCUCACUGCCUUCCACUCCACGAUUCAACCACCCAACGGACUGCCUCCAGUUACGUGCACCAAAGUUUCUUCUUUCUCUGUUUCCGACCUUUUCUUUCUCUCUCUCUCUCUCUCUUUCUACAUUUUUUGUUUUUUAUUUUUUUAGCCGCGUAGAUCGCACGAGUGGGUGCGUACCUUUGGAAUCUGCGCCCGCCGAGGCAAAUGCGUUUUACAUCGGCCUCGCGAGAGCAACGCGAUGCUCGGUAUUUUGUAAAAAAAGAAAGGAAAAUUUUACUAUCCCGGUGUCAUGUAAAAAGAGAAGAGCAACGUAAUACCAGGGUAAAACAAACAAAAAGUGGUAAAAGCGUAGGUGAUACUUUAUGAAGGAUCGUUCAGAGAACGGUGAAACAAGGGAGAAUUGAAAUCGAAUAAGUUGGAUUAAAAAAUAUUGAUAUUAAUUUCAGAAUUGUAAAACGUAGAAACGUAAGAAACGCAGAAGAGCUGUCCGACGAAAUUCAGUUGAUGGUAG